CGGCAGCACAGAGGAGCUUGCUCCUUGGGUGGCGAGUGGCGGACGGGUGAGGAAUACAUCGGAAUCUACUUUUUCGUGGGGGAUAACGUAGGGAAACUUACGCUAAUACCGCAUACGACCUACGGGUGAAAGCAGGGGAUCUUCGGACCUUGCGCGAUUGAAUGAGCCGAUGUCGGAUUAGCUAGUUGGCGGGGUAAAGGCCCACCAAGGCGACGAUCCGUAGCUGGUCUGAGAGGAUGAUCAGCCACACUGGAACUGAGACACGGUCCAGACUCCUACGGGAGGCAGCAGUGGGGAAUAUUGGACAAUGGGCGCAAGCCUGAUCCAGCCAUACCGCGUGGGUGAAGAAGGCCUUCGGGUUGUAAAGCCCUUUUGUUGGGAAAGAAAUCCAGCCGGCUAAUACCUGGUUGGGAUGACGGUACCCAAAGAAUAAGCACCGGCUAACUUCGUGCCAGCAGCCGCGGUAAUACGAAGGGUGCAAGCGUUACUCGGAAUUACUGGGCGUAAAGGGUGCGUAGGUGGUUAUUUAAGUCCGUUGUGAAAGCCCUGGGCUCAACCUG
rnacentral:rRNA from 1 species